AGUGGGUGGGGGUCCAGUGUUUCACAUUGAUUUUCUUAGUAUUUGUGACUAGAUCCACACUCAUUAA
rnacentral:pre_miRNA from 2 species